rnacentral:rRNA from 1 species
CCUACGGGAGGCUGCAGUGGGGAAUAUUGCACAAUGGGCGCAAGCCUGAUGCAGCCAUGCCGCGUGUGUGAAGAAGGCCUUCGGGUUGUGAAGCACUUUCAGCGGGGAGGAAGGCGGUGAGGUUAAUAACCUCAUCGAUUGACGUUACCCGCAGAAGAAGCACCGGCUAACUCCGUGCCAGCAGCCGCGGUAAUACGGAGGGUGCAAGCGUUAAUCGGAAUUACUGGGCGUAAAGCGCACGCAGGCGGUCUGUCAAGUCGGAUGUGAAAUCCCCGGGCUCAACCUGGGAACUGCAUUCGAAACUGGCAGGCUAGAGUCUUGUAGAGGGGGGUGGAAUUCCAGGUGUAGCGGUGAAAUGCGUAGAGAUCUGGAGGAAUACCGGUGGCGAAGGCGGCCCCCUGGACAAAGACUGACGCUCAGGUGCGAAAGCGUGGGUAGCAAACAGGAUUAGAUACCCGAGUAGUC